CAAUAGCGUAUAUUUAAGUUGCUGCAGUUAAAAAGCUCGUAGUUGGAUUUCGGGUGGGAAUGGCCGGUCCGCCGUUUCGGUGUGCACUUGCUACGCCCACCUUGCUGCCGGGGACGUGCUCUUGAGUUCACGCUCGGGACACGGAGUCGGCGAGGUUACUUUGAGUAAAUUAGAGUGUUCAAAGCAGGCCUACGCUCUGAAUACAUUAGCAUGGAAUAACACGAUAGGAAUCUGGCCUAUCUUGUUGGUCUGUAGGACCGGAGUAAUGAUUAAGAGGGACAGUCGGGGGCAUUCGUAUUUCAUUGUCAGAGGUGAAAUUCUUGGAUUUAUGAAAGACGAACUACUGCGAAAGCAUUUGCCAAGGAUGUUUUCAUUAA
rnacentral:rRNA from 1 species